rnacentral:rRNA from 1 species
GACGAACGCUGGCGGCGUACUUAACACAUGCAAGUCGAACGAGGCCCCUCCUUCGGGAGGGUGUUCUAGUGGCGAACGGGUGAGUAACACGUGGGCAACCUGCCCCCGGCUCCGGGAUAACCCCAAGAAAUUGGGGCUAAUACCGGAUAUGACCGCUAACCGCAUGGUCUGGUGGUGGAAAGGUUUUUCCGGCUGGGGAUGGGCCCGCGGCCUAUCAGCUUGUUGGUGGGGUAGUGGCCUACCAAGGCGACGACGGGUAGCCGGCCUGAGAGGGUGACCGGCCACACUGGGACUGAGACACGGCCCAGACUCCUACGGGAGGCAGCAGUGGGGAAUAUUGCGCAAUGGGCGGAAGCCUGACGCAGCGACGCCGCGUGGGGGAUGACGGCCUUCGGGUUGUAAACCUCUUUCAGCAGGGACGAAGCGAAAGUGACGGUACCUGCAGAAGAAGCACCGGCCAACUACGUGCCAGCAGCCGCGGUAACAC